AUUGAACGCUGGCGGCAGGCCUAACACAUGCAAGUCGAGCGGAUGAAGGGAGCUUGCUCCUGGAUUCAGCGGCGGACGGGUGAGUAAUGCCUAGGAAUCUGCCCGGUAGUGGGGGAUAACGUCCGGAAACGGGCGCUAAUACCGCAUACGUCCUGAGGGAGAAAGUGGGGGAUCUUCGGACCUCACGCUAUCAGAUGAGCCUAGGUCGGAUUAGCUAGUUGGUGGGGUAAAGGCCUACCAAGGCGACGAUCCGUAACUGGUCUGAGAGGAUGAUCAGUCACACUGGAACUGAGACACGGUCCAGACUCCUACGGGAGGCAGCAGUGGGGAAUAUUGGACAAUGGGCGAAAGCCUGAUCCAGCCAUGCCGCGUGUGUGAAGAAGGUCUUCGGAUUGUAAAGCACUUUAAGUUGGGAGGAAGGGCAGUAAGUUAAUACCUUGCUGUUUUGACGUCACCAACAGAAUAAGCACCGGCUAACUUCGUG
rnacentral:rRNA from 1 species